rnacentral:rRNA from 1 species
CCUACGGGUGGCAGCAGUGGGGAAUAUUGCACAAUGGGGGAAACCCUGAUGCAGCGACGCCGCGUGAGCGAAGAAGUAUUUCGGUAUGUAAAGCCCUAUCAGCAGGGAAGAAAAUGACGGUACCUGAGUAAGAAGCUCCGGCUAAAUACGUGCCAGCAGCCGCGGUAAUACGUAUGGAGCAAGCGGUAUCCGGAUUUACUGGGGGUAAAGGGGGCGCAGGCGGCCUAGCAAGUCUGAUGGGAAAUGCCGAGGCUCAACCCCGGAGGUGCAUUGGAAACUGUGAGGCUGGAGUGUCGGAGAGGCAGGCGGAAUGCCUAGUGUAGCGGUGAAAUGCGUAGAUAUUAGGAGGAACACCAGUGGCGAAGGCGGCCUGCUGGACGAUGACUGACGCUGAGGCUCGAAAGCGUGGGGAGCAAACAGGAUUAGAUACCCGUGUAGUC